AUUCAAGAACAUAUAGCAAAGUAGAGAAACACAGAUGAAAUCGAAGAUGGUGGCCAAUCUCUCCAUUUCCUGCAUCCUCCUCAUUCUCAUAUUAUUUACAUCAACAGGUCUAAAGGCAAUAGGAGACCCGCAGGGUGAGGAUAGACAAGAACCAUCUACACCAAUGUCGCUGGCACUGAGGCAGGCGGGGUUACCGGUGAUGCCAAACGAAAUGUGUAGGUCCGAUAUGCAGAAAUGCAGUGAAGACUGUGGUACCGAAUGUUGUAAUUCGAAAUGUGCGGCAGCGCAUACAGGGGGUUUUGGAUUUUGUUAUAGCGGCGGCGGUCCUGACAUUUACAGUGAAUGCCUUUGCAUGUGGCCUCCGCCUUGCCAGCCUCCUUUUUAGAGUAAAAAUUAUUGCAAUCUAAUAAAAAAAAGUUUUAAAUUUAA